CAAUGCGCAAAAUCCCCAAAUAUUCUAUAAAAUAUACAUUGAAACAAAACAAUAGUCACAAGAUGAAUAAGAACAGGCGAAAAAAUUUACUUUUUCUUGGCCCUUGCUUUCCCCUUCUUGUCAUCUUUGUCCCCCAGGCUCUCUUCUAAA
rnacentral:ribozyme from 13 species